rnacentral:rRNA from 1 species
UGAGCCCGCGGCCUAUCAGCUCGUUGGUGCGGUAACGGCUCACCAAGGCGACGACGGGUAGCUGGUCUGAGAGGACGGCCAGCCACACUGGGACUGAGACACGGCCCAGACUCCUACGGGAGGCAGCAGUGGGGGAUCUUGCGCAAUGGGCGAAAGCCUGACGCAGCGACGCCGCGUGGGGGACGAAGGCCCUCGGGUUGUAAACCCCUUUCGGCAGGGACGAAGCGAUCGUGACGGUACCUGCAGAAGAAGCCUCGGCUAACUACGUGCCAGCAGCCGCGGUAAGACGUAGGAGGCGAGCGUUGUCCGGAUUCAUUGGGCGUAAAGAGCGCGCAGGCGGCUCGGUCAGUCGGAUGUGAAAACCCGGGGCUCAACCCCGGGCAUGCAUCCGAUACUGCCGGGCUAGAGGUAGGUAGGGGAGAUCGGAAUUCCUGGUGUAGCGGUGAAAUGCGCAGAUAUCAGGAGGAACACCGGUGGCGAAGGCGGAUCUCUGGGCCUUACCUGACGCUCAGGCGCGAAAGCUAGGGGAGCGAACAGGAUUAGAUACCCUGGUAGUCCUAGCCGUAAACGUUGGGUGCUAGGUGUGGGCGGAUAUCGACCCCGUCCGUGCCGAAGCUAACGCAUUAAGCACCCCGCCUGGGGAGUACGGCCGCAAGGCUAAAACUCAAAGGAAUUGACGGGGCCCCGCACAAGCGGCGGAGCAUGCGGCUUAACUCGAUGCGACGCGAAGACCUUACCUGGGUUUGACAUGCAGGGUGAAA